GAAUAUUGGACAAUGGGCGCAAGCCUGAUCCAGCCAUGCCGCGUGUGUGAAGAAGGCCUUCGGGUUGUAAAGCACUUUUGGCGGGGAGGAAGGCGUNCUGGUUAAUACCCUNUUCUAUUGACGUUACCCGCAGAAUAAGCACCGGCUAACUCCGUGCCAGCAGCCGCGGUAAUACGGAGGGUGCAAGCGUUAAUCGGAAUUACUGGGCGUAAAGCGCGCGCAGGCGGUUUGUUAAGUCAGAUGUGAAAUCCCCGGGCUCAACCUGGGAACUGCAUUUGAAACUGGCNAGCUAGAGUCUGGUAGAGGGGGGUAGAAUUCCAGGUGUAGCNGUGAAAUGCGUAGAGAUCUGGAGGAAUACCGGUGGCGAAGGCGGCCCCCUGGACCAACACUGACGCUCAGGUGCGAAAGCGUGGGGAGCAAACAGGAUUAGAUACCCC
rnacentral:rRNA from 1 species